rnacentral:rRNA from 1 species
UUCCGGUUGAUCCCGCCGGACCUGACUGCUAUCGGAUUGAUACUAAGCCAUGCGAGUCAUUGUAGCAAUACAAGGCAGACGGCUCAGUAACGCGUAGUCAACCUACCCUAUGGACGGGAAUAACCUCGGGAAACUGAGUAUAAUGCCCGAUAGAACAUUAUACCUGGAAUGGUUUAUGUUCCAAAUGAUUUAUCGCCGUAGGAUGGGACUGCGGCCUAUCAGUUUGUUGGUGAGGUAAUGGCCCACCAAGACUAUUACAGGUACGGGCUCUGAGAGGAGUGGCCCGGAGAUGGGUACUGAAACACGGACCCAGGCCCUAUGGGGCGCAGCAGGCGAGAAAACUUUGCAAUGUGCGAAAGCACGACAAGGUUAAUCCGAGUGGUUUCUGCUAAAGGAACCUUUUGUUAGUCCUAAAAACACUAACGAAUAAGGGGUGGGCAAGUUCUGGUGUCAGCCGCCGCGGUAAAACCAGCACCUCAAGUGGUCAGGAUGAUUAUUGGGCCUAAAGCAUCCGUAGCCGGCUCUGUAAGUUUUCGGUCGAAUCUGUACGCUUAACGUACAGGCUGCCGGGAAUACUGCAGAGCUAGGGAGUGGGAGAGGUAGACGGUACUCGGGAGGAAGUGGUAAAAUGCUUUGAUCUCUCGAUGACCACCUGUGGCGAAGGCGGUCUACCAGAACACGUCCGACGGUGAGGGAUGAAAGCUGGGGGAGCAAACCGGAUUAGAUACCCGGGUAGUCCCAGCUGUAAACUAUGCAAACUCAGUGAUGCAUUGGCUUGUGGCCAAUGCAGUGUUGCAGGGAAGCCGUUAAGUUUGCCGCCUGGGAAGUACGUACGCAAGUAUGAAACUUAAAGGAAUUGGCGGGGGAGCACCACAAGGGGUGAAGCCUGCGGUUCAAUUGGAUUCAACGCCGGA